UCUGUCCCUCUUUGGACAGUUACGGACACAAUUCGUGUUUAAGAAUGAUUGCAAUCUAUUAAUAGCGGCCACCCAAUGGAAUGACGUCAUUCGGUAGCAUUCGUUAUUGUUCGGCAAAAACGGAGUUAAGCGCAUGCGCAGUCAAGUGACCUGGCCACGCCGUCGCCAUAUUGGUAGUCCUGAAGCGGAUCUAGACAGCGUUUUCACAACAACUGACACCAUGUCCAAAAGGCAGCCAGAAAGUAGCUCUGCAUGGUAGGAGUCCAUUAAAGAUGUGCCUGAUGAAACCAUUGGAAAUGUCAACAAUGGUAGCAUGGAUGGAAGUGACAGUGAUGUACCUUAAGAAAACAUUUGAAGUGACAAUGAUUGUAAGGUGGAUGAAAGUGGCAAUGAUGUGCCUAUAGAAACCACUGCAAGUGACAACAAUGAUAACAUGGAUGAAAGUGACAAUGAUGGGCCUGAAGAAACCAUUUUAAGUGACAACGAGUGUAACAUGGAUGAAAGUGACAGUGACAGGCCUGAGGAAAAUAUUAUAAGUGAUAAUAAGGGACAACAAUAAUAACAUGGAUGAAAGUGGCAAUGAUGUGCCUGAGGAAAAUAUUGUAAGUGAUAUAACAGUUGUGACGUGGAUG